rnacentral:rRNA from 1 species
UACGAAGGUGGCAAGCGUUACUCGGAAUUACUAGGCGUAAAGCGCAGGUAGGUGGUUUGGUAAGUCUGCUGUGGAAGCUCCCGGCUUAACUGGGAGAGGUCAGCGGAAACUGCCAAGCUUGAGUGUGGGAGAGGGUACUGGAAUUCCCGGUGUAGCGGUGAAAUGCGCAGAGAUCGGGAGGAACACCAAUGGCGAAAGCAGGUACCUGGACCACUACUGACACUAAGCUGCGAAAGCUAGGGGAGCAAACAGG